AAGGGCACCACCAGGCGUGGAGCCCGCGGCUUAAUUUGACUCAACACGGGAAAACUUACCAGGUCCAAACAGCGUGAGGAUUGACAGAUUGAAAGCUCUUUCAUGAUUCGUUGGGUGGUGGUGCAUGGCCGUUCUUAGUUGGUGGUGUGAGCUGUCUGGUUGAUUCCGUUAACGAACGAGACCUUUGUUGAAUACUAGGGGGUCCAAGAUAUUGCAUCAAGGCGGGGAUGCACAUAUGAGGUCAUCCUUCGGGACCCUUUUAUGUUUGUGUUCUCGUUGCUUUUCUAGGAUACCCCUUCUUUUCAAGACAAAUGCGGAAAACGCAUUGGAAGUUAUAGGCAAAAACAGGUCUGUGAUGCCCUUCGAUGUUCUGGGCUGCACGCGCGCUACAAUGUCAAAGUCAGCAAGUUUUUCCUUGCUCGAAAGGGCUGGGUAAUCUCUGAAACUUUGACGUACCAAGGAUCGCUGAUUGCAACUAUUCGGCGUGAAUCAGGAAUGCCUUGUAAUUAUGAGUCAUCAGCUCAUAGUGAAUACGUCCCUGCCCUUUG
rnacentral:rRNA from 1 species